AUACGGAGGAUGCGAGCGUUAUCCGGAUUUAUUGGGUUUAAAGGGUGCGUAGGUGGUAGAUUAAGUCAGUUGUGAAAGUUUGCGGCUCAACCGUAAAAUUGCAGUUGAAACUGGGAGUCUUGAGUACAGUAGAGGUGGGCGGAAUUCGUGGUGUAGCGGUGAAAUGCUUAGAUAUCACGAAGAACUCCGAUUGCGAAGGCAGCUCACUGGACUGUUACUGACACUGAGGCUCGAAAGUGUGGGUAUCAAACAGGAUUGGAUACCCUGGUAGUCCACACAGUAAACGAUGAAUACUCGCUGUUUGCGAUAUACAGCAAGCGGCCAAGCGAAAGCAUUAAGUAUUCCACCUGGGGAGUACGCCGGCAACGGUGAAACUCAAAUGAAUUGGCGGGG
rnacentral:rRNA from 1 species